AGAGAUCGGACAGGACACCACUGGCGAAGGCAGCUCCCUGGGGCAACACGGACGCUAAGAGACGAAAGAUUAGGGGAGCGAACAGGAUUAGAGACCAUGGUAGUCCUAGCCACUAAACGAUGGAUGCUGAAUGUGGGGCCAUAGCGCUCACGUCUCGUAGCGAACGCUUUAAGCAUCCCGCAUGGGGGACUAUGGCCGCAAGGUUAAAACUCAAACGAAUUGACGGGACCCUGCACAAGUACCGGAGCGUGUGGUUUAAUUCGAUGGUACACGGAGUACAAUUACCUGGGUUUGACAUCUAGGUGGUAGUGAAUUGAAAGCGGAGUGACCUUUCGGGGAGCCUAGACAGGUGCUGCAUGGCCGUCGUCAGCUUGUUCCGCGAGGUGUCGGGUUAAGUCCCGUCACGAGCGCAACACACGCCCGCCGUUAUACGUGUCAGAGGGGACUCGCCGUCGGUAUAGUCGGAGGAAGGUGGGGACGAAGUCAAGUCAGCAUGGCCUCAAUAUCCAGGGGUACACACAUGCUACAAUGGCCAGUACAAAGGGUAGCGAAGCUGCGAGAUGGAGCGAAUCACAGCAAAGCUGGAUCGUAGUUUGGUCUGCAGGCUGCAACCCGCAUGCAUGAAGUCUGGAGUUGGUAGUUACCGCGUAUCAGCCAUAGUGCGGUGAUACGUUCCCGGGGUUUGACACACCGCCAGUCACGUCAUGCGAGUCGAUCACUCUUGAUCACUGGUGGC
rnacentral:rRNA from 1 species